rnacentral:rRNA from 1 species
AUGAUGGCCAGACCACUCACCCUUCUGUGCGUCCUGCUCGCCGUCGUUGCCACCGCCACAUCGUCGCCGGCGAGGGAAAAGGAGGAGGAGCGGUCCUGCUACAUCGUGCAUGUCGCUCACGCGCACGCGCCGCCGCUACCGCACCGUGGCCUGCGCGCCACCUGGGCGUACGCCUCAUUCAUGCGUGACCGCAUGCCGGCGGACAUGUCGCUCCCGGCGCCGCGGGUGCUCUACUCCUACUCCCACGCCGCCACGGGCUUUGCGGCCCGCCUGACGAGUCGCCAGGCCGCGCACCUCGCGGGCCAGCGCUCCGUGCUCGCCGUCGUGCCCGACGUGAUGCAGCAGCUGCACACCACGCUGACGCCAUCCUUCCUCGGCCUGUCGGAGUCAUCGGGCUUGCUGCCGGCGUCCAACGGCGCCUCGGACGUCGUCAUCGGCGUCCUCGACACCGGCGUGUACCCCAUCGACCGCGUGGCGUUCGCGGCAGACCCGUCGCUGCCGCCGCCGCCCGGCAAGUUCCGCGGUGCCUGUGUCUCGGCUCCGUCGUUCAAGUGUUCAACGCCUCGGCGUACUGCAACGGCAAGCUUGUCGGCGCCAAGGUCUUCUACAAGGGGUACGAGGUUGACUUCGGAGGCCCGAUCAACGAGACGGAGGAGUCCAAGUCGCCGCUCGACACCCUCGGCCAUGGCACGCACACCGCCUCCACCGCCGCCGGCUCUGCCGUCCCGGACGCGGCUUUCUACGGCUACGCCAGAGGGAACGCCGUCGGCAUGGCCCCGGGCGCGCGCGUCGCCUCCUACAAAGUGUGCUGGAAAUACGGAUGCGCAACCUCCGACAUCCUCGCGGCGUUCGACGAGGCCAUCGCCGACGGGGUCGACGUCAUCUCCGCUUCAUUCGGCUCCUCCGGCUACACAAGGGCAUCAUCGUCUCUGCCGCCGCGGGAAACUCCGGCCCCGUUGA